GGACUACUAGGGUUUCUAAUCCGGUUCGCGCCCCUGGCUUUCGUUACUCACCGUCAGGUUCGUUCCAGUUAGACGCCUUCGCCACAGGUGGUCCUCCCAGGAUUAUAGGAUUUCACCCCUACCCUGGGAGUUCCUCUAACCUCUCCCGACCUCAAGUCUGAUAGUAUCUCCAGCAAUUCCCACAGUUAAGCUGUAGGAUUUCACCAGAGACUUAUCAAACCGGCUACGAACGCUUUAGGCCCAAUAAAAACGGCCACCACUUGAGCUGCCAGUGUUACCGCGGCGGCUG
rnacentral:misc_RNA from 1 species